UAUAGUUGGUCAGAUCUCAGGGACCUGCAUUUCACUGUCUCCAGAAGCACAUUUCAACUCUCUUUAAGCAAGGAGAAUCUGAAGGUGUGACCUUCCCAUUCUUCUGUGACAAACCUGGUGCUGCCCAGCAGAGUGGAAAGAGCAUGUUUUUUUGCAGUAAGUUCCAACGGCAGCUCCACCAGGCUGAGGAGGAAGCUCUGUUGUGACCAGCAUCUUGGACCACCAGUGAUAUGUCUGCCUGAACAGACCGAGGAAAUGACUUUCACUCACUGAAGUCCAUAUUCUUUCUGCUGGGGGAGAAUCCAGGUAGCUACAGGCCUCUGUCUGGCAGGGGUGUACAAUGGUGAGUGGUGAGGCAGCAUCCUGACCCAGAGACCAGUUGGUUGCCCUGCACUCUGACAGGGAGGUGGGACCCU
rnacentral:lncRNA from 1 species